rnacentral:rRNA from 1 species
CGCUGGCGGCAGGCCUAACACAUGCAAGUCGAGCGGUAGAGAGAAGCUUGCUUCUCUUGAGAGCGGCGGACGGGUGAGUAAUGCCUAGGAAUCUGCCUGGUAGUGGGGGAUAACGUUCGGAAACGGACGCUAAUACCGCAUACGUCCUACGGGAGAAAGCAGGGGACCUUCGGGCCUUGCGCUAUCAGAUGAGCCUAGGUCGGAUUAGCUAGUUGGUGAGGUAAUGGCUCACCAAGGCGACGAUCCGUAACUGGUCUGAGAGGAUGAUCAGUCACACUGGAACUGAGACACGGUCCAGACUCCUACGGGAGGCAGCAGUGGGGAAUAUUGGACAAUGGGCGAAAGCCUGAUCCAGCCAUGCCGCGUGUGUGAAGAAGGUCUUCGGAUUGUAAAGCACUUUAAGUUGGGAGGAAGGGUUGUAGAUUAAUACUCUGCAAUUUUGACGUUACCGACAGAAUAAGCACCGGCUAACUCUGUGCCAGCAGCCGCGGUAAUACAGAGGGUGCAAGCGUUAAUCGGAAUUACUGGGCGUAAAGCGCGCGUAGGUGGUUUGUUAAGUUGGAUGUGAAAUCCCCGGGCUCAACCUGGGAACUGCAUUCAAAACUGACUGACUAGAGUAUGGUAGAGGGUGGUGGAAUUUCCUGUGUAGCGGUGAAAUGCGUAGAUAUAGGAAGGAACACCAGUGGCGAAGGCGACCACCUGGACUAAUACUGACACUGAGGUGCGAAAGCG